UCCGGUUGAUCCUGCCGGUCCCGACCGCUAUCGGGGUGGGGCUAAGCCAUGGGAGUCGUACGCCCCGCCGCUGCGGGGCGUGGCGGACGGCUGAGUAACACGUGGCUAACCUACCCUCGGGAGGGGGAUAACACCGGGAAACUGGUGCUAAUCCCCCAUAGAGGAGGGGGCCUGGAAGGGUCCCUCCUCGAAAAGGUGUGGCGGGGGUUAACGCUGCCGCACCGCCCGAGGAUGGGGCUACGGCCCAUUAGGUAGUUGGCGGGGUAACGGCCCGCCAAGCCGAUAAUGGGUAGGGGCCGUGAGAGCGGGAGCCCCCAGAUGGGCACUGAGACAAGGGCCCAGGCCCUACGGGGCGCACCAGGCGCGAAACCUCCGCAAUGCGGGAAACCGUGACGGGGCCACCCCGAGUGCCCCCUUACGGGGGCUUUUCCCCGCUGUAGGAAGGCGGGGGAAUAAGCGGGGGGCAAGUCUGGUGUCAGCCGCCGCGGUAAUACCAGCCCCGCGAGUGGUCGGGACGAUUAUUGGGCCUAAAGCGCCCGUAGCCGGCUCGACAAGUCUCCUCCUAAAUCCUCGGGCCCAACCCGAGGAUUGGAGGAGAUACUGUCGAGCUAGGGGGUGGGAGAGGCCGAGGGUACUCCCGGGGUAGGGGCGAAAUCCUAUAAUCCCGGGAGGACCACCAGUGGCGAAGGCGCUCGGCUGGAACACGCCCGACGGUGAGGGGCGAAAGCCGGGGGAGCGAACCGGAUUAGAUACCCGGGUAGUCCCGGCUGUAAACGAUGCGGGCUAGGUGUUGGGUGGGCCUAGAGCCCACCCAGUGCCGCAGGGAAGCCGUUAAGCCCGCCGCCUGGGGAGUACGGCCGCAAGGCUGAAACUCAAAGGAAUUGGCGGGGGAGCACCACAAGGGGUGGAGCCUGCGGUUCAAUUGGAGUCAACGCCGGG
rnacentral:rRNA from 1 species